UUUUCAGCUUGGAUUUUAUCACAAACAAAGUUGAAUUUCUAAACACUAGGGCCUGCAGGUGUUAAUUAUGUUUUGAUGCAAAAACCUAGAAUUAAAUACCUGUGUUUUGUUUAAAAAUAGCGACAGUUUCUGAACCUGUAACUUUUUGUUUACCUAAAUUGCUCUAUUUUGUUGUAUGAACAGGAAAUACAGUGGCUGCUUUAAACAGGAAACACAAUGGAGAAAUAUCACGCAGUAUAUCAUGAACAUAAACAACAAGCCAAGUGCCUACUAACCAUCUAGACUGGAGCAGUGCUUUGUCUAUUGGGGAUACUGACGGUGGUAUGAUCUCAUUGGCCUAAAGGGCACAGGUUCCAAUUCUGAAUCAUGUUCUAUUUUUUCAUUUGGAAAGGAUCAUUUGAUUGCUAGAGACUCAUAUGCCACUUGACCCACAUCUGAGUGACUGUUCAUCUUGCAGUGUGAGAAGAUCACCGCUACCACCCCUGCGCUGACUCAGGAGGGGCGAAGAUGAACAUACGCUGUCCUCCGAAGCAUGUGCCGUCAGCCGCCUGCUUCCUUACACACUGCGGACUCACCAUGCAGCUGCCUCAGAGCUACAGCAUCGAAGGACAGCGCAGCUCUGGGCAGCUUACAGACUUGAUGAAAAACAGCUCACAACAGGCACACUGCCUCCCUCAUGAUCCUGCGUUAGCAAGACCUCUCGAUUUGCUGAAGAUAAUUGUGAAAGCUUAUAAUACAAAGACGGAGCACAAGGAGGUUAUGUGACUUGUGCAGGGUCGCACACAGUGAGUCAGUGCCUGGGAUUGAACCAGGAACCUCCUGGUAACAAGAUCCUUUAUCCUCCACUGGACAAUCAAGGCUUCUUUACAUUUUGUCCUGCAGUGUGUUGAUACCUCGCUUUUUCUGCUUUGUGGACGGAAUAUCUUUGUUCUCCUCCAGUUUUUUCAUUGUCUAAUCCUAAACAUUUUUUAAACAUUAUACCAGACAUUAAGUGUAUGUAAGAUCGCUGUUUUUUAUUUUGAAUGUUUCAACAAUUUUUGGGGGGACAAGUUAGGAGAAGUGAAUAGUCUUCCAAUAGUUUUCCAAAUGGUUUCAUGUGGGUACAUCCAGCAUUAACAUUUUUGAAAAUCGAAUAUAGCCUUGCACCGAAUAUAGCCUUGCAGCUCAAUAAUAUUUCUCAAGACCAGGCAAGGAUAGCCCUCCUAGUUUAGAGAGUGAGAGUCCUUUUCUUUAUUCUGGGCUGGGAACCUUACAGAGAAAAUCUGCCCAACAGUGAGAUUGUCAGCAUUUUCCAGUUCAACAUGUUCUACUAUUAAUUCUAAUUAUUAUACUGAUUAUUGGUAGCCUAAAACUUAAUUCCAAUCUUCACAUAAUAUAAUGAUUUACAUGCAAAUAAACAUUUUCCCAUCCAACUAACACUACUGCAGUCAUUGUUAGUGCUGCCCUGCCUAUGAAUAGAUGCCUCCCUGAUGUUACAGACAGCUCACUCAGUCCCCUCCUGCUGUCGACCACAGAAUGAUAAAUGUUUCAUAAUGUUGCCAUUGCUUAAAGAAAUGUUACCUUUCUUUCCCCAUUGCAGUUGUGGUUUACUGUACAGAUGUUUUGACAAGUAAAGCACCUAAUAUCAUGCCACUUUCAAACUUCAGUAGCUUAGCUGCUGUUGUCCUUAUGCAAUCCAACAGUUUAUCUCCUUUGGACUAUAUUGAGCCAUGAUAUGGGCCUAUUUUAUUUACUAAUAAUUCCAAAUAAGCCUAAUAAAAAACUAAAAAAAAUCUAAAAGAGGAUCUAAACACCCUACAUUAUAUUUAUAAGUUAUGUCGGGACAGGGAUAAUGGGAAUGUUUAUUUUCAGUGUUUUUCUAUAUCAUGGGGGUCAUACAAGUUCAUUAUAGUGCUGUUUGUGUUUUGUAAGACUCUAGUUGCUUUCUGAAGGUGAGCUGUCGUGAGGCUGGUUGUGCAUGUGUUGUAACAUUAUACUCCAUUCUUCAGUUUCAGAUGGUAUACUGUAUAGUCAUGGCAUUUCCUUUGUUUUC